rnacentral:lncRNA from 1 species
GGACCGCGGCCAUUUUUGUGCGGCCGCGCUGGUAGGUAAGCUGAAAGUCCCAGGGUUUUUCUAUAAAUAGAAGCCUUGGGCCUCAUUUGAACCUUUUCGCAAAUUUUCAUCUGGAGCUCUAAAUUUUCACUAUUCAUCCGCACUCCCUGCUCAUUUAGUCGAUUUUUCACUAAUCCCUGGUAACAAAUCUUGUUCAUUUCAUGCAUAGCCUAAUUUUUUGUUUCUUCUCAUUAAUCUCUACUAGUAUAACUUCUUAUUUUCACUAAUUCUUAAUGACUGUUAGUUUGGAUUUCUAUUGUUUAGUGAGACUUAGG